AGGGACCCUGAAAAUAAACAGCCGCGGCUUCGCGAGCCGUCCUCCCGCUCUGCGCCUGAGUCUCGGCCGCUGCGGGCCCCUGCGACGCGGAAGAUCUGACUGCAGCCAUGAGCAGCAAUGAGUGCUUCGAGUGUGGACGGUCUGGCCACUGGGCCCGGGCGUGCGUGCCCCGCUGGCGGGUGCCGCGGGCCUGGGAUGAGAAGCCGUGGCAGAGGUGGUUUUACCUCGGAUAGAGGUUUCCAGUUUGUUUCCUCGUCUCUUCCAGACAUCUGUCACCGCUGUGUUGAGUCUGGUCACCUUGCCAAGGACUGUGACCUUCAGGAGGAUGCCUGCUGUGACUGCGGCCGAGGCGGCCACAUCGCCAAGGACUGCAAGGAGCCCAAGCGGGAGCGGGAGCAGUGCUGCUUCAACUGCGGCAAGCCCGGCCACCUGGCCCGCGACUGCGACCACGCGGACGAGCAGAAGUGCUACUCCUGCGGCGAGUUCGGGCACAUCCAGAAAGACGGCACCAAAGUGAAGUGCUCCCGGGGUGGCGAGACUGGUCACGUAGCCGUCAGCUGCAGCAAGACGAGUGAAGUCAACUGUUACCGCUGUGGCGAGUCGGGGCACCUGGCACGGGAAUGCACGAUCGAGGCCACAGCUGAAUUACUUUCCUUUGUCGCCCCUCCUUUUCUGAUUGAUGGUUGUAUUAUUUUCUCUGAGUCCUCUUCACUGGCCAAAGGUUGGCAGAUAGAGGCUACUCCCAGGCCAGUGAGCUUUACUUGCCGUGUAAAAGGAGGAAAGGGGUGGGAAAAAAAUCGACUUUCUGCAUUUAACUACAAAAAAAAGUUUAUGUUUAGUUUGGUAGAGGUGUUAAUGUAUAAUGCUUUGUUAAAGAACCCCCUUUCCGCGCCACUGGUGAAUAGGGAUUGAUGAAUGGGAAGAGGUGGGUCAGACCAGGAAGCCCGUUCUGGGUUUCUCGAAUAUGUCCCAUGUAGGAGGUGAAACCAAUCCUGGAAGUGUCUGUGAGCUUCCAUAAAUAACUUUAAUUUUAGCAUAAUGACUGCCUUGGAUUGUCUGACCUCAGUAGCUAUUAAAUAACAUCAAGUAACAUCUGUAUCAGGCCCUACAUAGAACAUACAGUUGAGUGGGAGUAAACAAAAUAAAAAGACAAGCAUGCGUGUUGAUGGCUGUGCGAGAACACGGGAUAAAAGCCUGAGCAGGAGCAGCCUCCCCACAGCGUUGACGCUGGGUAAACAGACGGUGAUGGCAAUGGUGUAGAACACACGUUUUCAAAGACUAAAUCUAAAACCCAGAGUAAAACAUCUAUGCUCAGAGUUAGCAUAAUUUGGAGCUAUUCAGGAAUUGCAGAGAAAUGCAUUUUCACAGAAAUCAAGAUGUUAUUUUUGUAUACUAUAUCACUUAGACAACUGUGUUUCAUUUGUUGUAAUCAGUUUUUAAAAGUCAGAUGGAAAAAGCAACUGAAGUCCUAGAAAAUAGAAAUGUAAUUUUAAACUAUCCAAUAAAGCUGGAGGUGGAAGGGG